rnacentral:rRNA from 1 species
CGUGCAGGCGGUCUGAUAAGUCGGGCGUGAAAUCUCUCGGCUCAACCGAGAGGGGUCGUCCGAUACUGUCGGACUUGAGGGCAGUAGAGGAAGGUGGAAUUCCCGGUGUAGUGGUGAAAUGCGUAGAGAUCGGGAGGAACACCAGUGGCGAAGGCGGCCUUCUGGGCUGCCCCUGACGCUCAGACGCGAAAGCUAGGGGAGCGAACGGGAUUAGAAACCCCGGUAGUCCUAGCCGUAAACUAUGCAGACUGGGUGUCGGCGGUCUCAACCCCGCCGGUGCCGUAGCAAACGCGAUAAGUCUGCCGCCUGGGGACUACGGCCGCAAGGUUAAA